UACAGCCAUAUCAUGUUGAAACUUUGGUUCCUGUAUGAUCACCAAAGUUAAGCAAUGUCAAGCUUGGUUUGUACCUAGAUGGGUGACCACUUUGGAAUAUCCAGUGCCAU